GUCUAGAGGCCUAGGACACUGCCCUUUCACGGCGGCAACACGGGUUCGAAUCCCGUACGGGAUACCA
rnacentral:tRNA from 1 species